GGUGCGGUCCCUAGCAUCUCAGGAUGCAAAAGUCCGAGAAAGGGAACGCGAGCUGGGAGGACGCGUAAACAGGUUGUGAUAGUGCCCGGGCGAGGGCGGCGGGCGGGGGACCGAGAUGGGUGAAGGGCAACCCGGACACGCGCUGGGACGCACUGUCAACUCCCACCACCAGCCCCCACCCCAGCCGAGGAUGCCGGAGAGCCGCGCAGGCUCCCGCGGUGCGUCGGGGUGAGGGGCUGACUGUGCUGGGCCGAGGGCCUGGGCCUCUGCCAGCGUAGGGGGAGGUCGCGGCCGGGCCGCCUCUGGUGAGAAGAGGGGAGAGCUGCAAAGCGGCUUUGUUUGCGCGACGACGCCCGAGCUCCCUGCGGGGAAUGCACAAAGCCCCCGGUGCCAGCGCGUCAGGACACCCCUUCUUUGGGAACAAAAUGUGUGCUAUGCCAGCCCUCCUCCCUGCCCCCGCCCCUGCUCCAGCACUGUUCUAUUUGUAGCGGAGCGCCCAGGAGGACCUACUCAGGGCAGGAAACGAGCUCCAAACAAAUCCUGCGUUAGGAAGAGACCCUGGAGAGCAGGCCCACCUGGCCCUUUCCCAGGGGCCACACUGUGCUGGGCGUUGUGAAUAUAGCAGCGAAGGAAGCUGACCGUGAGGACAUCCAGUUCAAAGACGUCACCUGACAUACUCCAGAUCCCAAGCUGUUAAGGACCAAGAGUCCAAAUGCAGGGGUGUUGGCAUCUUUUCCCAGAUGCACCAUGAUUGUCUGUCAUAAACCCAGUGCAACCAGGAAUUUGGACAGACCUGGUAAAAAUUUUGAAUGAAGACCAAGGAAGCAGUAUGCCGUUCAACAGAAUAGUGUAUACACCCAGCGGACAGAGAGAAACGAUAUUCUUGGGUUCUUGGGGCUCCCAAGGUAUUAGGGAGACAAAACUUGUUUUUCACGCAUAUGUCGAGAUUUGUCACUGUUGAGCAAAUUCUCUCAGCCAGCCCCCCACCUGCCUGGAGAAAGUGGAAGCAAGUGCAGGACUUUCUCCUGGGAGAAUUCUGGCCAGAAAUGGCUCCAUACAGGCUACCCUUGAGGGACUGUGAGUUCCUGUUUGCCAUGAAGACCUUGUCACACAGCCUUCAUAGGAGAAACUGGCACAAAGGACACCCCCUGCCCCACCUCCAGCUCCUGGAAGUUUCUCCUUCCCUUCCUCCCUCUUUACCUCCUUCACCGUUGAUGGAGUGUAGGCAACACAACAGAACAGAGAUGGCCUCCAGUGCAAGGACUGAGCAGAAUGUCCCCUGUAACUUUAGGGACAAAUAGUGCUUUUGAAAACGUCUGAGCACCACCUAAGUUCCUCUUUGGAGGCUCCCUAAGUACUGGGAGCGUUUGGGGCACAUGUACCUUAGUCCUAAAGCUGUUUCAGGUCCCAUUUCAUGUUUUCUAAUCUUGAAGAUCCGGCAGAUAAUUAUUAUUAUGCCCAUAUGAUAAUAGGGAGACUGAGGCACAGAGAGACCCCCUGCUGCAGCAGGUCACAAGGCCACAGUUGCAGGGCUCAGGAGAGGAGGCGGGUCUGUGGAGACCCUGCCCCCUCUGAGCUACCCCUGGACAUACUGACUUGCCCAAUGCCACCAGAGCAGCCAAGGCUCUCCCUUGCCCCCUCCCUCAGGGGAGAAUCAGGAAGUUGAGACAUUCAGAGGAGGGGAAGGAGGUAGCUGGGGAGGUGACCAGAAGUGGUAGAAGGUUGCCACUCGAGACCAGGCAGCGGGUUAGACCCUGAACCUGUAAGCAGGUAAUGUCAGCCUUCUGUGUUCAGAGAGAAUGUGAGAGCUGACUGCUGACCCUGACCCUUGGUGCUGUUGGGGGUCAGGGGAGGGAAGCGUAUCCCAUGGGUCUGGAGUCAGGUGGAUGGCUGUCUGUUUGCUCUGCACUUAGGUAAGCCCUUUCCAGGAACCGUCCAAGGCCUCCGAUGGUCACUGUUUGCCCUUUGCUGAUCUGCAAAGCCUCCAUGUGCUCCCAGGGUGUCAUCAGCCAGGGCAGUGGCCUCUGAUCUCCUGGAAGUGUGCCCCCAGGUCAGGUGGUAGAAGUCAGCAAGGUCAGGGGACACAGACUGAGAAAGGGAGAGUUCGCUGUCGGUGAGUACAGAGCUGUUCCCUGGCCCACGGCUGGGCCUCUGCCCACCAUGAGCAUGUCCGCGGCUGCCAUCCUAGCAAUGGUGGCAAAACCUCACGGUAUUGAAGGCUUGUUACUUUACAUGGAACUUAAAAAUGAUCCCACAAAGCAGCUGGGUUCAUCCUUAUUUUACAGAUGAGGAAACUGCGGGCCAGGAACAACAUCACUUAGCCGAGGUCUCCAAGAGGGAGCAAGAACUGGAUUCCCAGCGUCCAACCCCACACUGCCAUCCCCACCUGCCCCAGAAGAGUCCUGCCAGCCAGUCGAGAGAGCCGAACUUGAACCUGAGCAGCCUGCAGGCCCCGGCCCGGCUGGCAGCUCUGUGACAGUGGGGCAGCUUCAUCCAGCUCUGUCCCCGCACCUGGAAUAGGCUCCGUCAACGUGCAAGUGAAUGGACGAGGUGUUCUCUCACCACCUCCAGGCCUUGACUUUCACUAAAAUGAGGGAUUUGACUGUGGUCCCCAGCCCCUUGAAGGGACAGGCCAUGUUUAACAAAAUGUCCCUGGUCUGCAGCAGAACAAGGGAAAGAAGCAGGGACUUUGUGGUGAGGUUUCUGUGAAGCUUCCUCUAGUCCAUGUAAAGAAACACCCUCUUUCUCCCUGAGAGUGUGUCCUUAUCAUUCUUUUGCUGUUGAAUAUGCCCUUUCUUAAUAAAAAUGCCUUAGAUGAAGUGUUGAUAAUAGUUGAUAGGGGUCGGCAGCCCCCAUAUCGGUCCCCAAAGCUGUUUAAAAUGUUUG